rnacentral:rRNA from 1 species
UAACACAUGCAAGUCACGGGGGCCCGCAAGGGUAACCGGCGAACGGGUGCGUAACACGUGAACAAUCUGCCUAGAUGUGGGGGAUAGCCGGCCCAACGGCCGGGUAAUACCGCAUACGCUCAUCGGGUGGCAUCACCUGAUGAGGAAACCUCCGGGGCAUCUAGAGGAGUUCGCGGCCUAUCCGCUAGUUGGUGGGGUAACGGCCUACCAAGGCAAUGACGGGUAGCUGGUCUGAGAGGAUGGCCAGCCACAUUGGGACUGAGAUACGGCCCAGACUCCUACGGGAGGCAGCAGUGGGGAAUAUUGCGCAAUGGCCGAAAGGCUGACGCAGCGACGCCGCGUGGGGGAUGAAGCAUUUCGGUGUGUAAACCCCUGUUGCUCGGGACGAACAACUGGAUUUGUCCAGUCUGACGGUACCGGGUGAGGAAGCACCGGCUAACUCCGUGCCAGCAGCCGCGGUAAUACGGAGGGUGCGAGCGUUGUCCGGAAUCACUGGGCGUAAAGGGCGCGUAGGCGGUCUGCUAAGCGUGUGGUGAAAGCUCGGGGCUCAACCCCGAGUCUGCCAUGCGAACUGGUGGACUUGAGCACUGUAGAGGCAGGUGGAAUUCCGGGUGUAGCGGUGGAAUGCGUAGAGAUCCGGAAGAACACCGGUGGCGAAGGCGGCCUGCUGGGCAGUAGCUGACGCUGAUGCGCGACAGCGUGGGGAGCAAACAGGAUUAGAUACCCUGGUAGUCCACGCCGUAAACGAUGGGGACUAGGUGCUUGGGGGAGC